GUAGCCGUCUGCAGGGCCCCAGCUAAGCAGCCCGCGGAGAGCGAGCGGCGCGUGCGCCCCCGCUGAUUGGCUGGCACAACCGGCACCGGAGCCAAUGGGAGCACGCCUUGUUGUCAGGCGCGCAGCCGGACGGCGCGGUGGUCGGGACAGACUGGCCGUUGCUGUGGAGACGCCUG
rnacentral:misc_RNA from 1 species